ensembl:lncRNA
AAAAAAAAAAGAGAGAUAAUUUUUCCCUAAUAAGAUCUAGACAAGUUUAAUUCCUGAGCUGCUUGCCUUCCACUUUAUCCAGGUGCAGACAAGUGCCAGUUCUCUCAUCAUUCCUGAAGGAUAUUUCUUCUGCCCUAGAGGAAAGGUGGGCCCUGCCAAGAUGCAAACAACAGUCCUACACGCAGAAGUACUACAGCUCCAUGGGGGAGGCUGCCUGUGUGUUGUUCUCAAGGCUAUUGAAGAGAAAUGCCAGAGAUGCAGGAAAACUUUGGAGUAUUUGAAGAGUAAGGAUCUGAACAGCUUCUGACAACAUAAAAGGAUUCAUUAUCUGACAGCCCAUUGUCAAAAGCAGAUGAGUACAGAAACCUGGAUGAUAUUCUGUUGUGUGACCUUCAAAAGAAAAUGAAAAUCUUGCAUAUAUAACUUGUUCUCUGUAAAACAGAAACGUACUAUGAUGUGAUUGCAGAAAGCUUGAAGAGGGGCGUUUUCAGGAGUCGCUCUUUGCUCUUGAAAGCAGAGCAGGGAGUCUUGGCUGGCACCACGUCUGAGCAAGAGGAGCAAUCCCCUUGACUUUUCAGGGCCCAAUGGGAUAACAUAUAGUGAAGAAAAUUUUGGUCC